rnacentral:rRNA from 1 species
CAGUAGCCGCGGUAAUACGAAGGGGGCUAGCGUUGCUCGGAAUGACUGGGCGUAAAGGGCGCGUAGGCGGCGAUCAAAGUCAGGCGUGAAAUUCCUGGGCUCAACCUGGGGGCUGCGUUUGAUACUUGGUUGCUAGAGUGAGGAAGAGGGUCGUGGAACUCCCAGUGUAGAGGUGAAAUUCGUAGAUAUUGGGAAGAACACCGGUGGCGAAGGCGGCGACCUGGUCCUUGACUGACGCUGAGGCGCGAAAGCGUGGGGAGCAAACAGGAUUAGAUACCCGAGUAGUCCCUGUCUCUUAUAC